AUCCAGCUGACGAGUCCUAAAUAGGAUGAAACACGCGUGCUGGAU
rnacentral:hammerhead_ribozyme from 1 species